CAAUAGCGUAUACUAAAGUUGUUGCAGUUAAAAAGCUCGUAGUUGGAUUUCUGGCUCGGCAAGCCUAGCCCGAGGACCUGGUGUCCUUGUGAGCUGGCGCUUGUCGGCCAUCCUUCAGGAGAGUGUUUCUGCCCUUGAUUGGGUUGGGGACAGGAUCCUGAUCGUUUACUUUGAAAAAAUUAGAGUGUUCAAAGCAGGCGUGUGCUGUGAAUACAUUAGCAUGGAAUAACACGAUAGGACUCUGGCCUAUCUUGUUGGUCUGUAGGACCGGAGUAAUGAUUAAGAGGGACAGUCGGGGGCAUUCGUAUUUCAUUGUCAGAGGUGAAAUUCUUGGAUUUAUGAAAGACGAACUACUGCGAAAGCAUUUGCCAAGGAUGUUUUCAUUAA
rnacentral:rRNA from 1 species